AAUUUUCUUGGAGAAGCAGUAAUGGGGAGUUGUACGUCUACUAAGUAUUAGCAGAACGCUCUCUGUUUCUCUUCAGUUGCUGCAGACAAUGAGCAUCAUGAUCCAGAACUAAGAAGUGAACAUGCUAUAUACUACUUGUUCAGUAACGAACAUAUCAACUACUUAAUAACUUAUACAUUUGACUUUCGCAAUGAAGAACUAUUAUCUUAUUACAUAUCGUUCUUAAGAGCAAUAAGUGGAAAGCUAAACAAGAGUACAAUUUCUCUGCUUGUAAAGACACAUGAUGUAAGUGUUUUUUUUUUUUAGAAAAAUCUUCUCCAAGUCUGUACUGAUUAUGGCAUG